rnacentral:RNase_P_RNA from 1 species
AAAGUAGGCAAAGCGAUCGCGCCCGACGGGUGAGGAAAGUCCGAGCUCCAGAAGGCAGAACGCCUCUGAAACAGAGGGCGGAGUGAUCCGACGGAAAGUGCCACAGAAAAGAGACUUCCCUGUAAAGCUUCGGCUUUCGGGGUAAAGGUGAAACGGUGGUGUAAGAGACCACCAGAGGCUAUGGUAACAUAGCCUGCUGGCAAACCCCGUUUGGAGCAAGGCCAUGUAGGCGGGAAGGUGUAGCCUGCACCGUUUGACCCGCGGGUAGGCCGCGUGAGGGAAAAGGCGACUUUUCUCCCAGAUGGAUGAUCGCAUUUCCGCAGAGCUAUUUGGCCGAGUUUAUUCAGCUGAAAGCUGAAUGAAUUCGGCAAAAGCGGAAAUACAGAACUCGGCUUAUUGCCUGCUUUGGCC